rnacentral:rRNA from 1 species
AACGAACGCUGGCGGCAUGCCUAACACAUGCAAGUCGAACGAGACCUUCGGGUCUAGUGGCGCACGGGUGCGUAACGCGUGGGAACCUGCCCUUAGGUUCGGAAUAACUCCCCGAAAGGGGUGCUAAUACCGGAUAAUGUCUUCGGACCAAAGAUUUAUCGCCUUUGGAUGGGCCCGCGUUGGAUUAGCUAGUUGGUAGGGUAAAAGCCUACCAAGGCGACGAUCCAUAGCUGGUCUGAGAGGAUGAUCAGCCACACUGGGACUGAGACACGGCCCAGAAUCCCGCGGGAGGGAGGAAUGGGGGAUAUUGGAACAUGGGGGGAAGGCUGAACCCGGAAAGGCGGGGGAGUUAUUGAGGCCUUAAGGGUGUAAAGCCUUUUUACCCCGGGAGGUUAUGACCGUACCCGGAGAAUAAGCCCCGGCUAACCUCGUG